GGUCACUGUUAACCCCAUCCAGUCAGUGCUGAGCAAAACGAGGACUCUGCAAACUGCAGGUAAUAUUUCCUGCUGGCUCAGCUAUAGUCAUUUAUGCAGCUUUUAGGGCGGUUUGGUGUUUUUUUCUUUCUUUUUCUGUUCCUUGCUUUUGGUGAGAUGCUAAUAAUUCGUGCAAACUCCCCCAUACACAACCAAUCUCCAUCAGAUGAUGAGACAAAAGGCUGAGAUAAGCCCCACUUCUAGCUAUACACUGUUAAAACGGGAAAAGAAAUCUGUUCAGAGAUUUUGCGAUGCAUAUGCAUGCAACAAGAAAAGCAGAGGCAGGGAAAAGAAGAGCUGGCUUGCAUGGCAGCAGGUGAACAAUGAACAAGGGAAAAACACUUGGCUGUAACAUUCACACCCGUGUCUCAUCCCACCUAACACCCAGAACACAACAACUUCCAAGUAAUGCUCUAACUGAUCCGUACUGUAUUGAGCCUCUAAGCUGUCUUUGCUUCUCUGCUUCUGUAAUUUAAGCUUCUUUUGUCUUGCUGUUCAGCAGGCAAACCUCACCCUAAGAAGACAAGAUGCAAACUAUGGGUGGAGUAUGUAUGUAGCCAAAUGAGUAAAAAUGCGUUUGAUGUGAGACAACAAACAGAUGUGAGACGAUGCUGUCUGAAAUGGACCCAUACUGACUUGAAUAUACGUACCAAAACACUAGAAAUCACGUUGUUACCAUACUGGAGUCUUUCCUCUUCCAUCACUUAAGCUGUGUACAAAGCUCUGGCAUGUCCCGUGAACCAGCAGGCACCUGCAGCCCUAUCCCUUGGCAUUACGCACAGGAAAAGAAAUGGCACAGCAUGAUAGCUUAUCCCUUAGUUCACUUCAAGAAAAGCAAGCAUAUCCUGAAUUACUGACAAUCACCAAGCUUGAUCACCUUAUGGAUCAGGAUGUGAUAUUGCAGCUCUUCUCUCCAGCAACCAGAAGAGACAAAUAGCAGGGGAAUCAUUGAUUCAAAGGUCUGCAAGAGAAAUACUCACCUAUGGAGAGCAGGAGACAAAUCCAGCCUAGUUCAGGUGCAGCUGAAAGCUGUCGUCAGCCAAAGCCUCAGCAGUUACCAGAAUGCAAACAAAGCUAUUCUUCAUGUGUUCAUUUCUUAAGUUGAACACAAUGCCUGCCAUUAAAAAAAGAAUAACAAUCAAAAUAAUCCUACGUGGCUUUUGUUGGAAUCAAAAAACAGGAGAAAAAUCACAGAAACGUGGUGGAAUGACUCACACAGCUGGAGUGCUGUGAUGGAUGGCUAGCGACUUUGCAAAAGAGAGAGGCAAGGCAGGAAAGGCAGUGGUGCAGCUGAAAGCUGUCCUCAGCCAAAGCCUCAGCAGUUACCAGAAUGCAAACAAAGCUAUUCUUCAUGCGUUCCUUUUUUAAGUUGAUCACAAUGCCUGCCAUUAAAAAAAGAAUAACAAUCAAAAUAAUCCUACGUGGCUUUUGUUGGAAUCAAAAAACAGGAGAAAAAUCACAGAAACGUGGUGGAAUGACUCACACAGCUGGAGUGCUGUGAUGGAUGGCUAGCGACUUUGCAAAAGAGAGAGGCAAGGCAGGAAAGGCAGUGGUGCAGCCCUCUACGUUAAGAAAGAAUGGGAAUGUAUGCAAAUGAACGAUGGCCAUGAUAGGGUUGAGAGCUUCUAGGUCAGAAGAAAAGCAAAGGCCAGUAAGACUGACCUUAUCGUGGGAGUGUGCUACA
ensembl:lncRNA